CUAAUUUUCACGUACAUGUACCAUUAAUUUAUGAAUCUUUUAUUAUUUCCUUAUAUUCAUAUAGAAGUCAUCUUUCCUUAUUUUAAGUACGUGUGAGUCCUAAUUAAUUUGCACGUACAUCUUUAAUUUAUGAAUCUUUUUGUUAUUUCCUUAUAUUCAUUAGACACGUACGAGGCUAUUUACGCGUCCUAAAUCUCCUAUAAUUCAGAUACUAAACUUUUUCUUUUUCUUUUGGAGUCUAUUCCUCUAUAUACUUUGUUGCAUCUCAUUCACUAGGUUUCGCCUACUGUGAAGAAUUGGCCAAAAACCUUUAGACUUUAGAGGCUUUUUCCUACUCAUUAUCUGACGAAGUGGAAACAAGUUAUAUGGAAGAAAAAAGUGGUGCUAGCGAUAUAAAAAUCGUGAAACAAUUUUCAUUCGAAGCAAGUGCAGAAGAAGUGGACGCAUUGCAUAUAGCAAUUCCAACACGCACAAAUCUAACAUGUUAAUAUCAUUAAUUCAGGUAACUGUAUACGGUAAAAAUCGAAUUUAUGCUAGACCGGUGAGACCGGGAAUCGAGGGAAGAAAGAAACAAGCACGAGCAUGAAGACUUUCCUUCGGAUCAGAGGUAUCGCACUAGAAGUGGUUGAUCAGAAGAAAGCGAAGGAAGUCGUUUGGUCCGGUUUCUCCAUAGCCGGUUGAUCGUGGCCGUUGGUCCGGUUGGUCGUGGCCGUUGGUCCGGGUGAUUAGUUGCACAAUUGUCAAGCAUCAAGACCGUUCUGCCACAUUGUACUGCCAAUCGUACGGGUGUCAGACCGUACGACCCAACCUUAUCCUUUUAGGGUUUUCUUUAUUCAAAAGGGUUUUAUGUUGUAUAGGGCCCAUAAGGCAAAACUAUAAAUAGGAGGCAUUUCCCCACUUUCAAGGGUUAGCUUUUUCAGAUCUAAAACAUUGUAAUAGCAGAAUAUAUAAAAUCUCUCCCUCUCCCUCUCUGAUAUUGGACCGGAUUUAUGUGUUCUUUAGCUUUAU